UUCUCUUUUAUAACCAAGAGAUUACAAACCGGAAAUAACCGAAAGUAGUAAACCAAAUGUAUCUGUCUAAACCGACCCGAAUUCAAUUUAGCUCAAAACACUCGUAUUCCAACAGAGUCGCUUCCAUUUGUUCAUGAGAUUAGGUGUAACGGCCCGGUUCCUGGCCCGUAAAAUUUCCCAAAGAAUAUGGGCUUCUCUACGGCCCAUUUGGCAAAAACCUAGGGUUUCCCUACCCCUUUCCUAUAAAAAGAGAUGCAGCCUCCCUUUUUGCCUCAUCACAAAUCUGAAGCGAAGCUCUGCAGAGAAAUCCCGGAGGCCGAAAACCCUAGCCGUCGAGCUCUCUCCCCUUCUAUCCUGCGCCGCCUCUCUCUCUUCUCUCUCUCUCUCUCCCGCGCGUCGCUCUCUCUCUCUCUCUCUCCUCGCCGACACCCCCUCUC
rnacentral:lncRNA from 1 species